CUGGCUCAGGAUGAACGCUGGCGGUAUGCUUAACACAUGCAAGUCGAACGAUGUUUUAGGACAUAGUGGCGGACGGGUGAGUAACGCGUGAGAAUCUGCCUUCAGGUCGGGGACAACAGUUGGAAACGACUGCUAAUACCGGAUGUGCCGAGAGGUGAAAGGCUUGCUGCCUGAAGAAGAGCUCGCGUCUGAUUAGCUAGUAGGUGUGGUAAGAGCGCACCUAGGCGACGAUCAGUAGCUGGUCUGAGAGGAUGAUCAGCCACACUGGGACUGAGACACGGCCCAGACUCCUACGGGAGGCAGCAGUGGGGAAUUUUCCGCAAUGGGCGAAAGCCUGACGGAGCAAUACCGCGUGAGGGAGGAAGGCUCUUGGGUCGUAAACCUCUUUUCUUAGGGAAUAAAAAAAUGAAGGUACCUAAGGAAUAAGCAUCGGCUAACUCCGUGCCAGCAGCCGCGGUAAUACGGAGGAUGCAAGCGUUAUCCGGAAUGAUUGGGCGUAAAGGGUCUGUAGGUGGCGGUGAAAGUCUGCGGUUAAAGAGUCUAGCUCAACUAGAUAAAAGCCGUGGAAACUACACAGCUAGAGUGCGGUAGGGGCAAGAGGAAUUCCUGGUGUAGCGGUGAAAUGCGUAGAUAUCAGGAAGAACACCGGUGGCGAAAGCGUCUUGCUAGACCUGCACUGACACUGAGGGACGAAAGCUAGGGGAGCGAAUGGGAUUAGAUACCCCAGUAGUCCUAGCCGUAAACGAUGGAUACUAGGCGUGGCUCGUAUCGACCCGAGCCGUGCCGGAGCUAACGCGUUAAGUAUCCCGCCUGGGGAGUACGCACGCAAGUGUGAAACUCAAAG
rnacentral:rRNA from 1 species